ACCAACUUUUGGCACUCCAACUUCUUACAUGGUGAAUAAAUUCACCAUGUGGAAUUAUGGUGCAAGAGAGCCUUCACACAGAAGGACUCUCCCUCUUUUGCAUGCCAUAAAAAUUCCAUUAAAAUUUGGUGACAUAUCAAGGGAUUUUUGAUUUAUCAUUUAAGGCAACGCGUUAAGAUAAGUUCCUUCUUUAAGUAGGAUUCUCCAUCUUCACACAUGAAAAUGAAUGGGGCGGCAUUAAUAUUUUGGUAUGGCUUCUGGUGAGCACAGAGGAGUCCUUCUCCACUUGAAACUAUUUC
rnacentral:lncRNA from 1 species